GGCGGACGGGUGAGUAACGCGUAAAGAACUUGCCCUUUAGACUGGGAUAACAGAGGGAAACUUCUGAUAAUACUGGAUAAGUUAGUAUAUCGCAUGAUAUGCAAAUGAAAGCUACGGCACUAAAGGAGAGCUUUGCGUCCUAUUAGCUAGUUGGUAAGGUAAGAGCUUACCAAGGCGAUGAUAGGUAGCCGGCCUGAGAGGGUGGACGGCCACAAGGGGACUGAGAUACGGCCCUUACUCCUACGGGAGGCAGCAGU
rnacentral:rRNA from 1 species